AUCAACUGGCUACUGUGCCAGCUGGUGGAUAGCUCGGCUCGAGAGCCGAUGACGGACGUGCCAAGCUGCGAAAAGCUUCAGGGACCCGCAUGGAGGGUAAGAACUGAAGAUCUCCGAAUGGGAAUCCCCACGCAAUUGCCUCGCGCAAUGGGGAACGUUCCGAAUUGAAACAUCUUAGUAGGAACAGGAAAAGAAAGCAAUCCGCGAUGUCGUUAGUAACGGCGAGUGAACGCGAUACAGUCCAAACCGAAGCCUUCGGGCAAUGUGGUGUACGGACUACCCAUAACGGACCUGGAUCAUACGUGAAGUCUCCUGGAACGGAGCGUGAUACAGGGUGAAAACCCCGUAACGUAUGAACCAGAUCCCGGGGUUGUUCCAGAAUAGCGGGGGUUGGAUAUCCCUCGUGAAUCUCGCAGGCAUCAACUGCGAAGACUAAACACUCCUCGAGACCGAUAGCGAACAAGUAGCGUGAGCGAACGCUGAAAAGCACCCCGAAAAGGGCGGUGCAAUAGGGCUUGAAAUCAGUUGGCGAUAGAGCGACGUGGCAUACAAGGUCACUCGACGAAUGAACUGGGAGCGAUCCCGUAGUAAGACUUGAGUGAAGCCGAUGUUGCGUCGUGCGUUUUGAAAAACGAACCAUGGAGUGCAUCUGACUGGCGAGUCUAAGGGGUGAACCCCCGGAGGCAUAGGGAAACCGAUACGGCCGCAGUCUUUGACCAGGGCCACCGUCUUCAAGGGCGGGGAGCCAACCGGAUGCGACCCGAAACCAAGUGAUCUACGCCGGAGCAGGGCGAAGCG
rnacentral:rRNA from 2 species